UAGGAGCUUAACCCUCAGAAUGCUCUGGCUUGUCCAGCUCCACUUUGGAGCCUGUGAAAGGGAAGGUCCCAUGGAAGAGACGGAAGUCACUAAGCCGAACACAGAUGAGUUUCCUGUGGACUUUAGGCAGUCAAAUUCACAUUGCUGAGUCACCUGGAGUAAGUGAACCUCAAAUGAAGGGUUGCCUUGACCAGAUUGGCCUGUGGAGACAACGUUCUUGAAUGUUCACUUAUGAAUAAUGUGGGAGAGACACACUGGACCAUCCCUCGGCUAGUGGUCCUGGAACAUGAAAAAGCCGGUGGAGAAUGAACCAGGGGACAAGCUUAGCAAGCAGCAUUCGGCCAUGGUUCCUGCAUUCAGGCUCCUGGCUUGAGCUCCUGCUCUGACCUUCCUCAGGGACAGAAUGUGAUCUGGAAACUUGAACCAAAUAAAGC